CUUGGUUGAACAGGAUCUUCUGUGUGAAUGGGACAGUCCAUCCAUGAAGAAAACCGAUGCCAGACAGGAGCCUUAGGCAGAAGAGCAGGGCACAUCGCAAUGACAUCAGUGAACUUCUGAUCAUAGUUAUUAUUCACCAGAAGAAGAGGAUUAACUAGUUCAGCAACUUCACAAUUGGGACUGAUCCCAGCAGUGGUGUGUUCAUCCCUGCAACAGAGACAGAAUCAAGAAAUAUCCAGGCAAGAAGAUGAAACACCAUCUUGAAAGUUAUA